CGAACGAUGAACCGCUUUCGGGCGGGGAUUAGUGGCGAACGGGUGAGUAACACGUGGGCAAUCUGCCCUGCACUCUGGGACAAGCCCUGGAAACGGGGUCUAAUACCGGAUAUGACCGUCUGCCGCAUGGUGGAUGGUGUAAAGCUCCGGCGGUGCAGGAUGAGCCCGCGGCCUAUCAGCUUGUUGGUGAGGUAGUGGCUCACCAAGGCGACGACGGGUAGCCGGCCUGAGAGGGCGACCGGCCACACUGGGACUGAGACACGGCCCAGACUCCUACGGGAGGCAGCAGUGGGGAAUAUUGCACAAUGGGCGAAAGCCUGAUGCAGCGACGCCGCGUGAGGGAUGACGGCCUUCGGGUUGUAAACCUCUUUCAGCAGGGAAGAAGCGAAAGUGACGGUACCUGCAGAAGAAGCGCCGGCUAACUACGUGCCAGCAGCCGCGGUAAUACGUAGGGCGCAAGCGUUGUCCGGAAUUAUUGGGCGUAAAGAGCUCGUAGGCGGCUUGUCACGUCGGUUGUGAAAGCCCGGGGCUUAACCCCGGGUCUGCAGUCGAUACGGGCAGGCUAGAGUUCGGUAGGGGAGAUCGGAAUUCCUGGUGUAGCGGUGAAAUGCGCAGAUAUCAGGAGGAACACCGGUGGCGAAGGCGGAUCUCUGGGCCGAUACUGACGCUGAGGAGCGAAAGCGUGGGGAGCGAACAGGAUUAGAUACCCUGGUAGUCCACGCCGUAAACGGUGGGCACUAGGUGUGGGCAACAUUCCACGUUGUCCGUGCCGCAGCUAACGCAUUAAGUGCCCCGCCUGGGGAGUACGGCCGCAAGGCUAAAACUCAAAGGAAUUGACGGGGGCCCGCACAAGCGGCGGAGCAUGUGGCUUAAUUCGACGCAACGCGAAGAACCUUACCAAGGCUUGACAUACACCGGAAACGUCUGGAGACAGGCGCCCCCUUGUGGUCGGUGUACAGGUGGUGCAUGGCUGUCGUCAGCUCGUGUCGUGAGAUGGUUGGGUUAAGUCCCGCAACGAGCGCAACCCUUGUCCCGUGUUGCCAGCAGGCCCUUGUGGUGCUGGGGACUCACGGGAGACCGCCGGGGUCAACUCGGAGGAAGGUGGGGACGACGUCAAGUCAUCAUGCCCCUUAUGUCUUGGGCUGCACACGUGCUACAAUGGCCGGUACAAUGAGCUGCGAUACCGUGAGGUGGAGCGAAUCUCAAAAAGCCGGUCUCAGUUCGGAUUGGGGUCUGCAACUCGACCCCAUGAAGUCGGAGUCGCUAGUAAUCGCAGAUCAGCAUUGCUGCGGUGAAUACGUUCCCGGGCCUUGUACACACCGCCCGUCACGUCACGAAAGUCGGUAACACCCGAAGCCGGUGGCCCAACCCCUUGUGGGAGGGAGCUUGUCGAAGGUGGGACUGGCGAUUGGGACGAAGUCGU
rnacentral:rRNA from 1 species